rnacentral:rRNA from 1 species
AUUGAACGCUGGCGGCAGGCCUAACACAUGCAAGUCGAACGGUAACAGGCCGCAAGGUGCUGACGAGUGGCGAACGGGUGAGUAAUGCAUCGGAACGUGCCCAGUCGUGGGGGAUAACUGCUCGAAAGAGCAGCUAAUACCGCAUACGAUCUAUGGAUGAAAGCGGGGGACCGUAAGGCCUCGCGCGAUUGGAGCGGCCGAUGUCAGAUUAGGUAGUUGGUGGGGUAAAGGCUCACCAAGCCAACGAUCUGUAGCUGGUCUGAGAGGACGACCAGGCACACUGGGACUGGGACACGGCCCAGACUCCUACGGGAGGCAGCAGUGGGGAAUUUUGGACAAUGGGGGCAACCCUGAUCCAGCAAUGCCGCGUGCAGGAAGAAGGCCUUCGGGUUGUAAACUGCUUUUGUACGGAACGAAACGGUCUGGGUUAAUACCCUGGGCUAAUGACGGUACCGUAAGAAUAAGCACCGGCUAACUACGUGCCAGCCGCCGCCGUAAUAC